UACGUAGGCAGCAAGCGUUGUUCGGAAUUACUGGGCGUAAAGGGUGCGUAGGCGGCUUUUUAAGUUUGGUGUGAAAUCUCCCGGCUCAACUGGGAGGGUGCGCCGAGUACUGAGAAGCUAGAGUGUGGGAGAGGAAAGUGGAAUUCCUGGUGUAGCGGUGAAAUGCGUAGAUAUCAGGAGGAACACCGGUGGUGUAAACGGCUUUCUGGUCCAGCACCGACGUUCAGGCACGAAAGCGUGGGGAGCAAACAGG
rnacentral:rRNA from 1 species